rnacentral:rRNA from 1 species
UACGUAGGUGGCAAGCGUUGUCCGGAAUUAUUGGGCGUAAAGCGCGCGCAGGCGGCCUCUUAAGUCUGAUGUGAAAGCCCCCGGCUCAACCGGGGAGGGCCAUUGGAAACUGGGAGGCUUGAGUAUAGGAGAGGAGAGUGGAGUUCCACGUGUAGCGGUGAAAUGCGUAGAGAUGUGGAGGAACACCAGUGGCGAAGGCGACUCUUUGGCCUAUAACUGACGCUGAGGCGCGAAAGCGUGGGGAGCAAACAGG